UGAUAAAUGAAUGUUGAUUGUUACGUGUCACAUUCUUAUUGAAUCAUGAGUCACAUGUCAUAUUUUGAUUGUUAUCAUUGGUCAAUCAAAACAUGACAUGUUACCGUCAUCAGAA
rfam:Glycine max cultivar Williams 82 chromosome 18, whole genome shotgun sequence.